rnacentral:rRNA from 1 species
GCUCCAAGAGCGUAUAUUAAAGUUGUUGCAGUUAAAAAGCUCGUAGUUGGAUUUCUGGUACAACGCGCCUGGCCGCAUUUGUGAGUGCCGGCGCGCGUUUGCCAUCCUUCUAGAAAACGUUUCUACCUGGCAACUGGGCCGGACUCGCGAUCUAGAUCUUUUACUUUGAAAAAAUUAGAGUGUUUAAAGCAGGCUUGCUG